UACGUAGGGGGCAAGCGUUGUCCGGAUUUAUUGGGCGUAAAGAGCGUGUAGGCGCCAGGUAGGUCCGCUGUGAAAACUUGAGGCUCAACCUCGAGAUGUCGGCGGAAACCCCCUGGCUAGAGUCCGGAAGAGGAGAGUGGAAUUCCCGGUGUAGCGGUGAAAUGCGCAGAUAUCGGGAAGAACACCCGUGGCGAAAGCGGCUCACUGGACCAUAACUGACGCUGAUGGCACGAAAGCUAGGGGAGCAAACAGG
rnacentral:rRNA from 1 species